rnacentral:rRNA from 1 species
GUGGGGAAUAUUGCACAAUGGGCGAAAGCCUGAUGCAGCAACGCCGCGUGAGGGACGACGGCCUUCGGGUUGUAAACCUCUUUUAGUAGGGAAGAAGCGAAAGUGACGGUACCUGCAGAAAAAGCACCGGCUAACUACGUGCCAGCAGCCGCGGUAAUACGUAGGGUGCAAGCGUUAUCCGGAAUUAUUGGGCGUAAAGAGCUCGUAGGCGGUCUGUCGCGUCUGCUGUGAAAACUGGAGGCUCAACCUCCAGCCUGCAGUGGGUACGGGCAGACUAGAGUGCUGUAGGGGAGAUUGGAAUUCCUGGUGUAGCGGUGGAAUGCGCAGAUAUCAGGAGGAACACCGAUGGCGAAGGCAGAUCUCUGGGCCGUAACUGACGCUGAGGAGCGAAAGCGUGGGGAGCGAACAGGAUUAGAAACCCGAGUAGUCC